GGGUUGUGAGGUUAAGCGACUAAGCGUACACGGUGGAUGCCCUGGCAGUCAGAGGCGAUGAAGGACGUGCUAAUCUGCGAUAAGCGUCGGUAAGGUGAUAUGAACCGUUAUAACCGGCGAUUUCCGAAUGGGGAAACCCAGUGUGUUUCGACACACUAUCAUUAACUGAAUCCAUAGGUUAAUGAGGCGAACCGGGGGAACUGAAACAUCUAAGUACCCCGAGGAAAAGAAAUCAACCGAGAUUCCCCCAGUAGCGGCGAGCGAACGGGGAGCAGCCCAGAGCCUGAAUCAGUGUGUGUGUUAGUGGAAGCGUCUGGAAAGGCGCGCGAUACAGGGUGACAGCCCCGUACACAAAAAUGCACAUGCUGUGAGCUCGAUGAGUAGGGCGGGACACGUGGUAUCCUGUCUGAAUAUGGGGGGACCAUCCUCCAAGGCUAAAUACUCCUGACUGACCGAUAGUGAACCAGUACCGUGAGGGAAAGGCGAAAAGAACCCCAGCGAGGGGAGUGAAAAAGAACCUGAAACCGUGUACGUACAAGCAGUGGGAGCACGCUUAGG
rnacentral:rRNA from 1 species